UUCCUUCAGUUCAAGAGGAGAGAGAUGCAACCCAGCAUGUAGGGGCCUGAGGAGGCAGGGGCCCUGCCUACCUGAACACAGGUGGUCACCCAGGCUUCCCAAGGUGCGUUUAGCUCUCCUGCCUUCUGAGGGACCAGCCGCUACAGAGCCUCAAGGGCCCCUGGGAGCAGGAGCCUCUGAAGUGCGUUGCUGUCACACCUGGAAAAGAAUCGUCCUUCCAACAGCCUCUCUAUAUUGAUACAUCCCGCGUGAGCUCCCCAAAAAGCAGCCACAGCUCUUGAGGCAGUGCUGCUCUGAGAGCAAGCGUGUGAGCAGUGCUGUCACAGCGGCAGUCCAGGCCUGACUGAAAGCAUCCCUGGAUGAUGGCUUCUCUUCCUUCCCCUGUUGGUCUCUGAUUGCAGUCACUAAGCGCUCUGAAUUGAACUAGGCGUUAAUAGCUCUGCUGACUGACAGUGGCUGCUAAGCGGCUUCACGUGCUGCGUAGAAGCCGGCGAUUGGAGGAGAACGAGGGCAUGCAGAGCUCGGAUGGAUGUCCCCAGGGUCCAUCAGAACUCUGCACCCAGGUGGGUUCCCCUGGGCAGUGUCCGUGGGGCUCUGAAGUCUGGCGGGUCGAAGGCUGCCUCGUCUGUUAAUUUACUCAGAUGGUGUCUCCAUGGUUCAUGCUGAUUAGUCAGUCCCAUGAUUCCAUUUGCCAAUACUCUGUGUUCCAGAAAGACCCAGGACGCGCCCGCUGGCAUGAGUUCAGGAUGCUGCUGGGCACGAGUGAGGCUGGCAGACGCAGAUCCUACUAUGUGACAUUGUCUUGGCUGCCCCAGUGAUGUAUGGGGCAAAGUGCCCCCGCUCAUGAGUACUAAUUUUCAAUGAGAUCCAUUUUCACCUCUGCCGGUCCACAGCCUAGGGAUUUUGCACACAUGACUGUGAGUCAACAGUUCCUGUGCCAUGGGCCCAUUGUGUGACCUUGGACAAGUCAUUUAGUUCGCCCCUGUACCUCAGUUUCCCCAUCUAUACCACGGGGAUAAUAAUGGUGGUCAACCUCAAUGGAAUUGGGUGGUUUGACAAUUAAUUAGUUAAUGUUUGUAAAGUAUUUUGAAGCUGGAAAGUGCUAAAUGCUGCUUUUGUUGUGAUUUCAUUACCAUUUGUAUAGGUUAUAAUAAUUAAUGUAAAUUUCAUCUGGUAGAA